rfam:Solanum lycopersicum cultivar Heinz 1706 chromosome 11, whole genome shotgun sequence.
GACUUGUAAAACAACAUUUAUUUACUCUUAGGCCUUAGGGAGUAGUAUAAAUCGGAGGAUCAUUUCAUUUGUAAAGAAUCCAAUAGUCCAACAAUCAAUACAAGUCCUCUCUUCCAAAAUCUUUCUUUGUCUUUCUUCUUAUUCUGUUAGCGUUCUGAGUUAAAAGGCUUAGUUGAGUUUACGAGAUCGUGAAAGAAUCGUGAGUAAGUUUUCAAGUGCUGCACGGAGUCUUAGCGAAUACUCUAAGUCCGUGACACUACGCUCUUUAUACAUUAGCAUGGGAUAACAUUAUAGAAUUUGGGUCCUAUUACAUUGGCCUUCGGGAUCGGAGUAAUGAUUAACAGGGACAGUCGGGGGCAUUCGUAUUUCAUAUUCAUAGGUGAAAUUCUUGGAUUUAUGAAAGACGAAAAACUGCGAACGCAUUUGCCAAGGAUGUUUUCAUUAAUCAAGAACGAAAGUUGGGGGCUCAAAGACGAUCAGAUACUGUCCCAGUCUCAACCAUAAACGAUGCCAACCAGGGAUCUGAUGAUGUUGCUUUUAGGACUCCGCCGGCACCUUAUGAGAAAUCAAAGUUUUUGGGUUCCGGGGGGAGUAUGGUCGUAAGGCCGAAACUUAAAGGAAUUGACGGAAGGGCACCACCAAGAGUGGAGCCUACUGCUUAAUUUGACUCAACACGGGGAAACUUACCAGGUCUAGACAUAGUAAGGAUUGACAGACUAAGAGCUCUUUCUUGAUUCUACGGUAGUGGUGCAUGGUCGUUCUUAGUUGGUGGAGCGAUUUGUCUGGUUAAUUCUUUUAACGAACGAGACCUCAGCCUACUAACUAGCUAUGCGGAGGUAUCCCUUCGCGGCCAGCUUCUUAGAGGGACUACGGCCUUUUAGGCCGUGCAAGUUUGAGGCAAUAACAGGUCUGCGAUGCCCUUAGAUUUUAUGAGCCGCACGCGCGCUACACUGAUGUAUUCAAUGAGCUUAUAGCCUCGGCUGACAGGACCGGGUAAUCUUUGAAAUUUCAUCGUGAUGGGGAUAAAUCAUUGCAAUUGUUGGUCUUCAACGAGGAAUUUCUAGUAAGCGUGAGUCACAAGCUUGCGUUGACAACGUCCUUGCCCUUUAUACACACCGCCCGUCGCUCCUACCAUUUGAAUGAUCUGGUGAAAUGUUCGGAUCGCGGCGACGUGGGCGGUUCGCUGCCCACAACGUCACGAGAAGUCCAUUGGACCUUAUUAUUUAGAGGAAGGAGAAGUCGUAACAAGGUUUCCGUAGGUGAACCUGUGGAAGGAUCAUUG